rnacentral:rRNA from 1 species
AGUGAACGCUGGCGGUAGGCCUAACACAUGCAAGUCGAACGGCAGCACAGUAAGAGCUUGCUCUUACGGGUGGCGAGUGGCGGACGGGUGAGGAAUACAUCGGAAUCUACUUUUUCGUGGGGGAUAACGUAGGGAAAAUUACGCUAAUACCGCAUACGACCUACGGGUGAAAGCAGGGGAUCUUCGGACCUUGCGCGAUUGAAUGAGCCGAUGUCGGAUUAGCUAGUUGGCGGGGUAAAGGCCCACCAAGGAGACGAUCCGUAGCUGGUCUGAGAGGAUGAUCAGCCACACUGGAACUGAGACACGGUCCAGACUCCUACGGGAGGCAGCAGUGGGGAAUAUUGGACAAUGGGCGCAAGCCUGAUCCAGCCAUACCGCGUGGGUGAAGAAGGCCUUCGGGUUGUAAAGCCCUUUUGUUGGGAAAGAAAAGCAGCAGGUUAAUACCCCGCUGUUCUGACGGUACCCAAAGAAUAAGCACCGGCUAACUUCGUG